CCGGGCUUCGGCCCGGGGCAAAGCCGCGAACGGGUGAGUAUCACGUGGGUAACCUGCCCCGAUGACCGGGAUAACCCGAGGAAACUCGGGCUAAUACGGGAUGUGCUCCUCGCACACCAGUGCAAGGAGUAAAGGAAGCUUCGGCCUCCGCAUUGGGAUGGGCCCGCGGCCCAUUAGCUUGUUGGUGAGGUAAUGGCUCACCAAGGCAACGAUGGGUAGCUGGUCUGAGAGGACGAUCAGCCACACUGGGACUGAGACACGGCCCAGACUCCUACGGGAGGCAGCAGUGGGGAAUCUUGCGCAAUGCGCGAAAGCGUGACGCAGCAACGCCGCGUGAGGGAAGAAGGCCUUCGGGUUGUAAACCUCUUUCAGGAGGGACGAAGGUUCAGGCGCGAAUAGCGUCCUGGACUGACGGUACCUCCAGAAGAAGCCCCGGCUAACUACGUGCCAGCAGCCGCGGUAAUACGUAGGGGGCUAGCGUUGUCCGGAAUCAUUGGGCGUAAAGAGCGUGUAGGCGGCCCGGUAAGUCCGCUGUAAAAGUCAAAGGCUCAACCUUUGAAUGUCAGUGGAUACUGCCGGGCUAGAGUCCGGAAGAGGCGAGUGGAACUCCUGGUGUAGCGGUGGAAUGCGCAGAUAUCAGGAAGAACACCAACGGCGAAGGCAGCUCGCUGGGACGGUACUGACGCUGAGACGCGAAAGCGUGGGGAGCGAACAGGAUUAGACACCCUGGUAGUCCACGCCGUAAACGAUGGGCACUAGGUGUGGGAGGUGUCGACUCCUCCCGUGCCGGCGCUAACGCAUUAAGUGCCCCGCCUGGGGAGUACGGCCGCAAGGCU
rnacentral:rRNA from 1 species